rnacentral:misc_RNA from 1 species
GAUGAAGAACGUAGUGAAAUGCGAUAAGUAAUGUGAAUUGCAGAAUUCAGUGAAUCAUCGAAUCUUUGAACGCACAUUGCGCCCGUCAGUAUUCUGGCGGGCAUGCCUGUUCGAGCGUCAUUUCAACCAUCAAGCCCCCGGCUUGCGUUGGAGCCCUGCGGCUGCCGCAGGCUCCCAAAUCCAGUGGCGGGCUCGUCGUCGUACCGAGUGCAGUAAACAUCCUCGCUCAGGGAACGUGACGGGUUCUUGCCGUGAAACCCCCCACAUAUCAAGGUUGACCUCGGAUCAGGUAGGAAUACCCGCUGAACUUAAGCAUAUCAAUAAGCGGAGGA